GCCGCCGCCUGCCCGCCGGACAAAGCCGAGAGCCCGCGCCCACAGCCAUGUCCUCGUCAGCCGGCAGCGGCCACCAGCCCAGCCAGAGCCGCGCCAUCCCCACCCGCACCGUGGCCAUCAGCGACGCCGCGCAGCUACCUCAUGACUAUUGCAUCACGCCCCGGGGGGACGCUCUUCUCCACCACACCCCACACCGGGAGGAACUCGAAUCAUUUAUGACAGAAAGCUUCUGUUGUAUCGUCGCAAUUCUCCCAUGGCUCAGACCCCACCCUGCCAUCUGCCCAAUAUCCCAGGAGUCACUAGCCCUGGCACCUUAAUUGAAGACUCCAAAGUAGAAGUAAACAAUUUGAACAACUUGAAUAAUCACGACAGGAAACAUGCAGUUGGGGAUGAUGCUCAGUUCGAGAUGGACAUCUGACUCUCCUGCAAGGAUUAGAAGAAAAGCAGCAACACUGAUACUUGUGUGCACCUGAUUUGGCCAAUAGGAUCAACAGUGAAAAGACAGAAGAGGCAAUACCAGCAGUCCCCAUUACAGUCUCCACCUCCCCGUCUUCCUCUGGGUGCCAAAUGAUGGGAAGAUGAGCUUCAUCUGACCAUUUCUUCUCCCUGUCUCCUGUUCCCCUUCCCAGUUAAACAGGUUAGAUUGAAGGCCCUUGCUGUAUUUCUGUAGAGCUAAGCAGCCCUUAGAGGAAAACAGUUCAACUCUAACUUUCCUAGUUGUAUUUUUAUUGAGAGCCACCCUCAUACCC